AUCCUCGAUCUGCUGCGGACAGAUGAAGUGGAUAUGGCUGUCGAACCCGCCGGCGGUCAGGAUCUUGCCCUCGCCCGCGAUGGCCUCGGUCCCGGGGCCGACGAUGAUAUCCACGCCCGGCUGCGUGUCUGGGUUCCCGGCCUUGCCGAUCUUCGCGAUACGGCCGUCCUUGAGACCUACGUCGGCCUUGUAGAUACCGGUGUGGUCCACGAUCAGCGCGUUGGUGAUGACGGUAUCCACCGCGCCACCAGCCCGCGUGACCUGGCUCUGGCCCAUCCCGUCGCGGAU
rnacentral:sRNA from 1 species